CUUGAAUAGGCAGAUAGAUAUGUUACAUACCCAUAGAGAUAGUAGAAGGAGAGGAGGUAGAGAUAAUAACAUACCCAUAGAGAUAGUAGAAGAAGGAGAGGAGGUAGAGAUAAUAACAUACCCAUAGAGAUAGUAGAAGAAGGAGAGGAGGUAGAGAUAAUAACAUACCCAUAGAGAUAGUAGAAGAAGGAGAGGAGGUAGAGAUAAUAACAUACCCAUAGAGAUAGUAGAAGAAGGAGAGGAGGUAGAGAUAAUAACAUACCCAUAGAGAUAGUAGAAGAAGGAGAGGAGGUAGAGAUAAUAACAUACCCAUAGAGAUAGUAGAAGAAGGAGAGGAGGUAGAGAUAAU